AUUUUUUAAAAUGGGGCCAAGUAACAGUUAAAAUUGGAAUGCUACAGAGAUUAGCACGGGCCCUGUGCAAGGAUGACGCAAAUUUGUGAAGCGUUCCGUAUUUUU